rnacentral:rRNA from 1 species
AACGAACGCUGGCGGCAUGCCUAACACAUGCAAGUCGAACGGGAUCCUAGCUUGCUAGGUGAGAGUGGCGGACGGGUGAGUAACACGUGGGAAUCUGCCUUUUGGUUCGGGAUAACCGCGGGAAACUGCGGCUAAUACCGAAUGCCCUCGAGAGAGGAAAGAUUUAUCGCCAGAAGAGGAGCCCGCGUCCGAUUAGGUAGUUGGUGGGGUAAAAGGCCUACCAAGCCGACGAUCGGUAGCUGGUCUGAGAGGAUGAUCAGCCACACUGGGACUGAGAUACGGCCCCAGACUCCUACGGGAGGCAGCAGUGGGAAUAUUGGACAAUGGGGGCAACCCUGAUCCAGCAAUGCCGCGUGAGUGAUGAAGGCCUUAGGGUUGUAAAGCUCUUUUGCCAGGGAAGAUGAUGACUGUACCUGGAGAAUAAGCCCCGGCUAACUUCGUGCCAGCAGCCACGGUAAU